rnacentral:misc_RNA from 1 species
UCAAAACCUUCCAAUCACACUUCCCUGAAAUCCAAUCCCGCUUCCCCAAAAUCUCCCCGUCAACCCUAGUCAACCUUCUUCUCUGCUCCCGUAAGUUCGAUCUAAACCCCCUCGACCUCCCCCGCAAACUCGACCUCCUCAAAACCCGCUUCGCGUUCUCCGCCGCCACCGUGGCGAAGGUCCUGGAAGGGUUUCCCGACGUUCUUAUAACAAGCGAGACUGAGAUUACUAAUGUAGUUGAUUUUCUAGUGGAAUUCGGAAUCC